rnacentral:rRNA from 1 species
CACGUAGGGUGCGAGCGUUGUCCGGAAUUAUUGGGCGUAAAGAGCUCGUAGGCGGUGUGUCGCGUCGGCCGUGAAAACCUGCAGCUUAACUGUGGGCGUGCGGUCGAUACGGGCAUCACUGGAGUUCGGCAGGGGAGACUGGAAUUCCUGGUGUAGCGGUGAAAUGCGCAGAUAUCAGGAGGAACACCGGUGGCGAAGGCGGGUCUCUGGGCCGAUACUGACGCUGAGGCGCGAAAGCGUGGGGAGCAAACGGG